CACUGUUGCACCGGGGUCACUUUAGGGGGAGGGAAACGACGGCACCCCAGAUAUAACCUGGAGGACAGAGAGUGCGGAGUGUCUUCAUUGCUGCUCAUUAUCUCCUGUAUUUUACAGAAAUGAAGUUUUCACUUCAGUCCAAACCUGGAUUUUGUCCACGUUCCUGGCGCAGCCCACCACCUUCAUCCCGCAGCGGACCAGCUCUUUGGCUACGGCCGCCCCGAUCCCCACCGAGGCUCCGGUCACCAGAGCCACUCUGCCCCUCCAGCGAUCCAUCACAGCGAUACACCGGUAAGCUGCUGCAGACACACAGGAAGAAGAGAGGACGGAGAGUCUGACAGCCACGGAGCCUGAAUGCAGCACACUGGACACGGUGCGUCUCCACCACACUUAAAUGCACCACUGUGCUGCGUUCAGGAUCCAGGUGCACUGCAGGAAAUCAGAGAACGCAGCUCUGUUUCAAGAAGAUUGUGAAAUACAACCCAACUACCAAACUGUCUCUGUUUUACCCAGUUUUGCCUCACAAGAAAUGUCAAUUCUAGUCCAAGGUGGUCUGAAAAAAGAGAAUGUCCUCCUCUGGGACAACUGGCUUGCAGCGAAUCAAUGCACAGUGAUGCUCAUGUUGAAGGCAGAGAGUCUGACUGUCAGCAAACUGGAUGUUCUGUUUUUUCCAGAUGCACCCGCAUUUAUUAGAAUAGGAGCUUGAAGUUAAUCUUUUACAGAGGUUCCAUAAAUAUACACCCUGACUUUAUGCAGAGUCCACCUUGUGACUUUGGUAUAGAACCGACUUUAUUGCCAAUGAAACAUAAAACUUGAGAAGUUAUUUUAAUCCCAUCAGUUUCCAAAAGCAGACAGCCAUGACGUCUUACCGUGGACUGGAUGCAACCUCUUCCUCUGGCCCUCCGUCAAGGUAGUCACCAUGUUCCUUGGAACAGUGCGAUGUCCGCUCAUACUGUAACAGGAGAUGUACAAGCUGCUACCAAUAUCUGUAUUUACCAACAUAGACUGAAGUGAUCUCAGGGCAAAGAACUAGAAAAAAUGCCCUAUGAUUAAAGUGACUACUGUUCAUUUAAAGCCAGAUUUACUGUAAAAGGUUGAAAGUUGUAACAGUUACUGUAGAUUGACUGCUAAAUCGAGAGCUUCACCUUCCAGGCUCAGCUCCCUCUUCAUCACAACAUUCUGGUGCAACGCCCUCUUAGCUGCUAAUGCUGCACCAAGCUGCCUGUCUCCAUCUUCUGGUGAACAAGAGCCCAAAUACUUGAACUCCUUUGCUUGUGACAGCAACUCCCUCCAAACCCAGAGGGAUCAAUCCACCGGUUUCCAGCAGAGAACGAUGAUCUCAGACUUGGAGGGGCUGACUCGCAUCCCAGCUGCUUUACACUUGGCUGCAAACAGUUCCAGAAUGUGCUGAAGGUCACGGUCUGAAGCCAACACUACCACUCUGCAGCAAAGAUGCAAUCCUGAGGUCACACCCACACCCACAAGAAACAUGUUUGACUUUGUGGUGAGAAUGCGCAAACAGCUUUGGUUGUACAAGGACAGGACGGCUGGAAACUAUGACCCCAAUAGCCCCCCAUACUUCCACAGUGUCCCCACAGGGCCCUUGAAGAGACAUGUCAUAAUGAUUUGGUCUCAUUUGUCACUAUGGAAGCACCAACCCUGAUGUCCACGUGACAGUAAAGAGACGUGUCAUCUAAGACAGUCCAACAAUGUCUCCAGACUUCCACAUCUUUGUACAAAUCUCCACCACACCUAGUGCCUUACCACCAAACAGCUUCUCGAUUACCUCGGCACCCUCUACCACGAAUGUGUGUGAAGCUACCCUCAAAUCUUCUGGAUCUGCUUCCUAAGCAGAGAAACUGUUAAUCAGGUUGAGGAGUUCCUCAGUCCUCUUUCCUUCCCUUCCUGAGGCAUCAGUUUACCGGAACCUCCUUGAGGCCCACUGAAUCUCCUUCUCCAUACCUCUCUGAAGUCCUUUCACAUGCUGGCCCCUGGUACCUGUCUGGUUUAGGGACACUGGGGGCCCCCUCCAGGAGCCAUGUGGGAGGGGUGCUUGCCAUUUUGGGCAUCUCCUGAAACAGCAGACAAAGUGGGGCUGUUCCUUGUGCACGUUCUCACCAAGGUUCUAUAAAGAGCCCUAUGAAGAAUCGGCACUUCAUCGUGGUGGAGGGUUCUGUAUGUCUCUGUAAUCCCAGGUGAUCUUGUAAGUAGUCUCUCUCCUGAGGCAAACUGGUCCCAGAGGAGGGGCCAGGCUAAAAGCAAUUCAUAGAACCUCCAUCUAUGUUUGAUGCUGGAAUUUUUUUUUGUCAGAUUUGUUACUGACUUUUUACUGGCAUAUUAAAUAACAUAAAUGUGAAAGAUUUUUAAAGGCAUAUUUUGAGUUCAAUAUUUGUGUAUUUUAAUAGUUUGUGUUGCAUGCAUUGUUUCCACUAUAGGCUGUUGAAUAGUGUGAUCUGCAACCAGAAAUCAAAUUUCCUUUUGUAUAAUAAUAAAGCUGGAGUGCAGCAAGUUUCAUGUUCCAGUCAGUCGUUUUAUUAUGUUGAUAUGAGUAAAAUUACAGCACAAGCUUCAUAACCAAAGUUAUUUCAUGAUUACAUGAAGUUAUUACUUUCAGAAAUGCGGUGAACAAAUAACAUGAAGCAUUUGUCAAAACAGUAAUCCAACUUUUAUAUAGUGAAACUCUACAACGCCUGCUCCACAGGACGCAUCUGAAUGUCUCCAAUCUAAAAGAAAACUUAUGUUAUCUAAUUAUGAAUAAACUGCUGAUAUUUCUACAAUUGAACAACAGAUGUCAAACAUGAUAAAAUAGAAAGUCAUGUACCUGCACAUAUGGAGGGGCACUCAGAACGUACGUAACAGCAUUUGCAAGAUCUACUGCUUCCAGAGGCUGUCAGAGAGGUAGAAAGUGCUUAAAUACUUUUUAAAAUUCCAGUAAUUGUUGUAACAGUAUUCAAGAAACGUAGAAGUAAUGUGUUUACUGUAAAUUGAGCGUAUGAAGCAGCGGCUCUGUCUGGAUCGUGGCUGUAGAGUCGCGGAGCAAAUUCUGUCGCUACAACGCCAGGAGAAAUGCACUGCAGAGAGAGUGGGUAAUAUUUCAGGAUGUAUGUGUUUCAGGAUUCAUAAUUGUGCUGAUGGUACUCGUGGAGCUGGUGAUGGACUGUGAGUGAAUUUAGCAUUGGCUUAGUUAAAAAAAGAAUAAGUGAUAGUUUGGGGCUUUUUAAGCCUUUACUAUAGUUGAAAGUGGAGAGACAGGAAACAUGGGGAGAAGAAUGAGGGAAAGACAUGCAGCAAAAGGCCGAGGGUGGGAAACUAUAGCCCCUGUUUAUGGGUCGCCCGCUCAACCAGCUGAGUUACCCAAACACCCAGCUUAGUUCAUGUUUAAAUUGCAGACAGCCAUGAGGUCUUACUGUGGCUCGGAUGUGGCUCUUGGCUUCACGCAGCUCCUGCCUCAGGCCCUCAGUCAGGGCGGUCACUGCAAACUUGGUGGCAGUGUAGAAAUGAAUAUCAGCAGUGGGAAUUACACGAUGUCCACUCAUGCUGCAGCAGAAGAUGCACAAGCAACCAGGUCAGCAUUCACCAGCAUGUACUGAAAUAAUCUCAGGGUACAGAACAGGAAUUCUUUCUAAAGAUAUAUCUUUUACUCAUUUAAAGUCAUGUUUACUGCAUACGGUUCAAGGCUGUAACAACACAUCCUGUCAUAUAUAUUUUCAGUUAUUUGGCAGUACCUGUUUAUGUGGAUGAUGUGGCCGUCAUCAACAUUUCUUUCCUUCAUCAACUGAUACGCUUCACGUGUGCAGAUGGACAACCCAAUAACAUUCACCUGGAAGACACCGAGCAGAAAGAAAACCAAUUAAGAAAAUAUCUUUCAUUAACACCUCAAACGUCACACGAAGUCACCGCUUCUUUUGCACAAGGAAACACUUUUUCAGUCUCUUUAGGAAACUGGGAAUGAAACACCCUGAUGGUGUCACAGAUAUUUCCAUAUUUAUUCAAGAGUUCACAGAUCAAUUUGUUGCUUGUUCUUGUUUUAAAACAAUGUCAUGUUUAAACACAUUUGACUUGAUCGUGUGCUUUUCACUUUUUCCAGUAGGAAAAGUACAGGUUUUAGCAUAAUUAUUCAUAUUAACUCUUGGUCAAAUGUCUCAGUAGGUCUUAAACUCUGAUUUCUAAAUUAACAACACUGAGUUCUUACAUCCAGCAUGUUCCUCCAGCCGCUGGUUUUGCCGCCUAACAGCGGCUCUGGAUGAGCCAAUCCAGCGUUGUUGAUGCAAACAUCCACACCUUUGUGCUGCUCUUUGAUGGUUGCAAACAUGGACAGAAUCUCCUCCUCUUUGGUUAAGUCACAUUUGAUCGGCACUAAAACACCGCUGUAGCCUGCUUUCUUACACUCCUCUGCCAGUUCCUGAGAUCAGAAUGAAAAACAUAGCUUCACAUUCAACUUUGUAGUUUUAGUAAUCUGCCACUUCAAUGUUUGAUUUUUAUUAGUUGAUUCUUCUUAAAUACAUAGUAUGGUAUUUGGUUAGUUAAAGUGAAUCCCUUUACAUAAAAAAACAACACGAGGACAACAAAAUCUGCCACUGUUUAACCAACAUAUUAUUGCCUUAUUAUUCUACGUAUAAAUUUAUGAACGACAGUGAAGGCUACUCAGAAUUAUAUGUACACAAUGAUUUCACAGUGUGGUUGAAAAAAAAGUUUCAGUAUUUGCCAUUCUUCAGACUGUGUGUGGAACUGAAGAAUUUGUGGCUGGGUCAGUUCUCAUAAACUUUGAACAAGAGUGAGUGAGUUUGGAUUCAGUGUGAACACAGCUGGUUACUGAUGAACUAAAAAAACAUAGCUUACAGAAGUCUGACAGCAGUAAAUGAUUUGCACAACUUGAAACAUCAAAAUGUGUUGUUUGUGUUAUGGUUUUAUUUGCCUCUAAUAUCUCAUGCUAAGUUUGAGAGACACAUUCAAAUAGUUUUGCAAAUAUAUUAAAAUAUCUAGAUAGCAACUGUUGAUAAAUGCAAUGUGUAAGUGAGUUUCUGCACCGUCCUGGACUCUGCACAGGAUUUCAACAUAUUCAAAUAGAGCUGCAUUUAUCAGCUGUUUCCUGUUACAGUAACUUCCGCUUGUUUCUCUGAAAGUUUUUCUCUCGGCUGCAGCUUCUCGGUUAGUAUUCCUCUCCAAAUAUAGACUCUGAAAUCCGCAGAAAUGAAGUUUUCACUUCAGUCCAAACCUGGAUUUUGUCCACGUUCCUGGCGCAGCCCACCACCUUCAUCCCGCAGCGGACCAGCUCUUUGGCUACGGCCGCCCCGAUCCCCACUGAGGCUCCGGUCACCAGAGCCACUCUGCCCCUCCAGCGAUCCAUCACAGCGAUACACCGAAAUGAAGUUUUCACUUCAGUCCAAACCUGGAUUUUGUCCACGUUCCUGGCGCAGCCCACCACCUUCAUCCCGCAGCGGACCAGCUCUUUGGCUACGGCCGCCCCGAUCCCCACCGAGGCUCCGGUCACCAGAGCCACUC